rnacentral:tRNA from 1 species
CAGGGAAUAGGUGAACCAGAAUUUCAGCUUUGGGUGUUGAUGGUGGAACUGGGGGUUCCUUCCUUGAA